GCCUGACUUGCUCAGUCACUAGAGCAUGUGACUCUUGAUCUUAGGGUGAUGAGUUUGAGCCCCAUGUUGGGUG
rnacentral:tRNA from 1 species